ensembl:lncRNA
CUUUAAGGAGUCACAUGUGUGGCCAUGUGCUAAACAGAGUGAGUACGGUAGUGUAUUAUUAGACAGAGUGAGUACGGUAGUGUAUUAAACAGAGUGAGUACGGUAGUGUAUUAAACAGAGUGAGUACGGUAGUGUAUUAAACAGAGUGAGUACGGUAGUGUAUUAAACAGAGUGAGUACGGUAGUGUAUUAAACAGAGUGAGUACGGUAGUGUAUUAUUAAACAGAGUGAGUACGGUAGUGUAUUAUUAAACAGAGUGAGUACGGUAGUGUAUUAUUAAACAGAGUGAGUACAGUAGUGUAUUAUUAAACAGAGUGAGUACGGUAGUGUAUUAUUAAACAGAGUGAGUACGGUAGUGUAUUAUUAAACAGAGUGAGUACGGUAGUGUAUUAUUAAACAGAGUGAGUACAGUAGUGUAUUAUUAAACAGAGUGAGUACGGUAGUGUAUUAUUAAACAGAGUGAGUACGGUAGUGUAUUAAACAGAGUGAGUACGUGUAUUAUUAAACAGAGUACGUACAGUAGUGUAUUAAACAGAGUGAGUACAGUAGUGUAUUAUUAGACAGUGAGUACGGUAGUGUAUUAAACAGAGUGAGUACGGUAGUGUAUUAAA